rnacentral:rRNA from 1 species
GCUUGUGAUCAUACCCGCACUAAUGCACCAGAUCCCAUCAGAAUUCCGCAGUUAAGCGUGCUUCGGCGAGAGUAGUACUAGGAUGGGUGACCCCCUGGGAAGUCCUCGUGUUGCAACCCC